UCACCACAACCUAGAAGAAGGGCAGGAGUAAAGUCAAAUUACCUCAGAAGAAAGGCAAAACAUGGCAAAAAUGGCUGCCAAGUUGAUUACGUACUUAGCCUGCACUCUUCUCGUGCUGGCACCAUUUGUAUCCAAAUCUGAUGCUUUUGGAAACGGACCUAGUGUUACUUGCCCGAACGGGAAGAAAUGGUGCUUUGAAAAAACGGGGUUAAUGGACAGAGACGACAAUGCUCUUCGAGCCAAGCGCCGAUUGUGUGAUGCUGCUGAACGUAUGGGCUGUAGAACUGAACGCUGAGUGACGCUAAGGACGAAUAAAAGCUUAUUAAACCACCAGCAGUCUUGGCCAUGAUGAAAAGAUACCGAAAUAAUAAAUUUGAAUGAAGUCACAAAUAACAUUGUUAAGCAUAUAUAGUGCAUGACAUGUAAAUUAAAAUUGAACGUUUAAAAAUUA